rnacentral:rRNA from 1 species
GUUGGGUAGGGGAGCGUUCUGUAAGCCUGUGAAGGUGUGUCGUGAGGCAUGCUGGAGGUAUCAGAAGUGCGAAUGCUGACAUAAGUAACGAUAAAGCGGGUGAAAAGCCCGCUCGCCGGAAGACCAAGGGUUCCUGUCCAACGUUAAUCGGGGCAGGGUGAGUCGACCCCUAAGGCGAGGCCGAAAGGCGUAGUCGAUGGGAAACGGGUUAAUAUUCCCGUACUUGGUGUUACUGCGAAGGGGGGACGGAGAAGGCUAUGUUGGCCGGGCGACGGUUGUCCCGGUUUAAGCGUGUAGGUGUGUGUUCCAGGUAAAUCCGGUUCACUUUAACACUGAGGCGUGAUGACGAGGCACUACGGUGCUGAAGCAACAAAUGCCCUGCUUCCAGGAAAAGCCUCUAAGCAUCAGGUAACAUCAAAUCGUACCCCAAACCGACACAGGUGGUCAGGUAGAGAAUACCAAGGCGCUUGAGAGAACUCGGGUGAAGGAACUAGGCAAAAUGGUGCCGUAACUUCGGGAGAAGGCACGCUGACACGUAGGUGAAGUGAUUUACUCAUGGAGCUGAAGUCAGUCGAAGAUACCAGCUGGCUGCAACUGUUUAUUAAAAACACAGCACUGUGCAAACACGAAAGUGGACGUAUACGGUGUGACGCCUGCCCGGUGCCGGAAGGUUAAUUGAUGGGGUCAGCGCAAGCGAAGCUCCUGAUCGAAGCCCCGGUAAACGGCGGCCGUAACUAUAACGGUCCUAAGGUAGCGAAAUUCCUUGUCGGGUAAGUUCCGACCUGCACGAAUGGCGUAAUGAUGGCCAGGCUGUCUCCACCCGAGACUCAGUGAAAUUGAACUCGCUGUGAAGAUGCAGUGUACCCGCGGCAAGACGGAAAGACCCCGUGAACCUUUACUAUAGCUUGACACUGAACAUUGAGCCUUGAUGUGUAGGAUAGGUGGGAGGCUUUGAAGUGUGGACGCCAGUCUGCAUGGAGCCGACCUUGAAAUACCACCCUUUAAUGUUUGAUGUUCUAACGUGGACCCGUAAUCCGGGUUGCGGACAGUGUCUGGUGGGUAGUUUGACUGGGGCGGUCUCCUCCUAAAGAGUAACGGAGGAGCACGAAGGUUGGCUAAUCCUGGUCGGACAUCAGGAGGUUAGUGCAAUGGCAUAAGCCAGCUUGACUGCGAGCGUGACGGCGCGAGCAGGUGCGAAAGCAGGUCAUAGUGAUCCGGUGGUUCUGAAUGGAAGGGCCAUCGCUCAACGGAUAAAAGGUACUCCGGGGAUAACAGGCUGAUACCGCCCAAGAGUUCAUAUCGACGGCGGUGUUUGGCACCUCGAUGUCGGCUCAUCACAUCCUGGGGCUGAAGUAGGUCCCAAGGGUAUGGCUGUUCGCCAUUUAAAGUGGUACGCGAGCUGGGUUUAGAACGUCGUGAGACAGUUCGGUCCCUAUCUGCCGUGGGCGCUGGAGAACUGAGGGGGGCUGCUCCUAGUACGAGAGGACCGGAGUGGACGCAUCACUGGUGUUCGGGUUGUCAUGCCAAUGGCACUGCCCGGUAGCUAAAUGCGGAAGAGAUAAGUGCUGAAAGCAUCUAAGCACGAAACUUGCCCCGAGAUGAGUUCU